UGGGAAUUUGGAAGCUCAGGUUGCCGAUUCAGGAUACGGAAGUGAACCUGGGUAUAGAGGAGAUGCUGAGUUUGGUUAUGGCGAUGAGUUUGACGAAGAGGAAGAAGAUCCCAGGCCACUGUUUUGGGGUCAUCAUUUGAGAGGUACUGUACUCUUUCCUGAUUUCAUAGUCCAUUCAAGUUCUGAUUUCAUGGUUCUUUAGAUUCAUUUCUUUUGGAAUUCUGCAGAUGAGGAUACAGAUAC
rnacentral:lncRNA from 1 species